UUGAAACACUGGUUCUCAUAUGAUUACCAAAAUUAAGCAAAGCCGAGUCCUGAUCAGUACCUAGAUGGGUGACUGCUUGGGAAUAUCAGGUGCUGCAAGC